GAUGAACGCUGGCGGCGUGCCUAAUACAUGCAAGUCGAGCGAACGGACGAUAAGCUUGCUUCUCUGAUGUUUGCGGCGGACGGGUGAGUAACACGUGGAUAACCUACCUAUAAGACUGGGAUAAUUUCGGGAAACCGGAGCUAAUACCGGAUAAUAUUUUGAACCGCAUGGUUCAAAAGUGAAAGACGGCCUUGCUGUCACUUAUAGAUGGAUCCGCGCUGCAUUAGCUAGUUGGUAAGUUAACGGCUUACGAAGGCUACGAUGCAUAGCCGAACUGUGAGUACGGUCGCCCACGUUCGAGCUGAGCCACCGUCCAGUGACCUGAGGGAGGCACCAGUAGCGAAUCUUGCGCAGUGGUCGAGAGCCUGACGGAGCGACGCCGCGUGAGAUGUGAAGGUGUUCGGAUCGGAAAACUCUGUUAUGGGUGAUGAACAUAUUUGUAAGUCGCCGAAGACAUCUUGACGGUACCUGGUCAAAAAGCAACGGCUAACUACGUG
rnacentral:rRNA from 1 species